GUUUCUUUUUUAGAUGGUCAGAUAAGGUGCGAUGUUUUGUCUGCAAAACUACAUGGUAACACUUCUCUGACCUGUCAUUUUCCUGAAGAUGUCAGUCAAACGAAGAGAGACUUCAGCGUGUCACGAUACUCAGAUAAGAACAAUACAUAUGAGAUUCUGGACUGCUGGUGGAUGUCAGGAAAGGUAGAGUGUAGAAAUGCCCAGGGAUACGAGUAUAACAAAAUAAUAUCUAACAGACUGUCGCUGGAAAUUCUAGAAAUUUCAGCUCCACAAGUCGCUACUUACGCCUGUCAACUCCCUGGAUAUGGACCCCACUCCAUUGUCACCUGUGACCUCAGUGUUGAGCUAGACGGAAUCUCCGAAUGUGAGAUCCUGUCUGUGAAGCUGAAUUCACAAACUGCGCUGACGUGUUACUUUCGUGAGGACCUCAGCAAGACUCGGGUGGAUUUCUCAGUCUCUCACCACUCCAGGCUCGGUG